GACGGGGUUUUUCCGUGUUGGCCAGGCUGUUCUCAAACUCCUGACCUCAGGUGAUCUGCUCGCCUCGGCCUUCCAAAGUGCUGGGGUUACAGGCAUGAGCCACCGCCCCUGGCCUAACACUUGACUUUUAAGGGGCCAAUAUCACUGUGAUUCUAAAAUUUAAGGAGAUGUUAAUGCCGGCCUCUGCAACUACACUUGGAAGAUCCUUCCCAGCAACUGACAACUUGGCCCCUCCACCCCUCCUUCCAGACCUUCCGUGGACACCCUUAAUCACUGCAAGAGCAGCCUGUGCCGUGCUUGGUAAACGUAUUUAUCUGAAGCUGGAAGAACACUUUCAGACAUAAUGGGAGCAUUCCCUCAUGGAGCAUGAGGGUGGCCUAAAUGACCUUAUCAGACAGUGGAACAGCUGAGACCGAG
rnacentral:lncRNA from 1 species